GAUGAACGCUGGCGGCGUGCUUAACACAUGCAAGUCGAACGGGAAAUAUUUCAUUGUGACUUCGGUGGAUUUGAGUUAUUUCUAGUGGCGGACGGUGGAUUAACUCGUGGGUAACCUGCCUUAUACAGGGGGAUAACAGUCAGAAAUGGCUGCUAAUACCGCAUAAGCGCACAGAGCUGCAUGGCUCAGUGUGAAAAACUCCUGUGGUAUAAGAUGGACCCGCGUUGGAUGAGAUAGAUGGAGGGGUAACGGACCACCAAGGCGACGAGCCAUAGCCGGGCUGUGAGGCUGGACCGCCACAUUGGCGCUAAGCCACAGCACGGACUCCUCCGGGAGGCAGGAGUGGCUAAUAUUGCAACACGGCGUAAGCCAUGAUGCUGCGCCGCCCCGUGAACGCAGAAGUAUGUCGGUAUGUAAACUUCUAUCAGCAGGGCAGAUAGUGACGGUACCUGAUUAAGAAGCCCCGGCUAACUACGUG
rnacentral:rRNA from 1 species